AUGAUACGUACGAUAAUUCAAAGAUUCGCGAUCUCGUGGAACUCGUGCAACUCGUGCACGCGAGUUAUCAUAUUUGAAUACAUAGCGGACGGCGUGAACCAUAGUUAUGGAGAUAUUUUGAUAACAUUAAUUAUCUUAUUAGAAAAUAGAUGGGAUAUACCUAGGACAUCAAUCGUCGUGUACGGGGCGAAUAUUAUAAUUUAUCUUUUGAUAUCAAAUACUGUAACACCGCGGUGGUAGACAUGUGUUCUAAUAAUUUC
rnacentral:misc_RNA from 1 species